rnacentral:rRNA from 1 species
AUUGAACGCUGGCGGCAGGCCUAACACAUGCAAGUCGAACGGUAACAGGAAACAGCUUGCUGUUUCGCUGACGAGUGGCGGACGGGUGAGUAAUGUCUGGGAAACUGCCUGAUGGAGGGGGAUAACUACUGGAAACGGUAGCUAAUACCGCAUAACGUCGCAAGACCAAAGAGGGGGACCCUCGGGCCUCUUGCCAUCGGAUGUGCCCAGAUGGGAUUAACUUGUUGGUGGGGUAACGGCUCACCAAGGCGACGAUCCCUAGCUGGUCUGAGAGGAUGACCAGCCACACUGGAACUGAGACACGGUCCAGACUCCUACGGGAGGCAGCAGUGGGGAAUAUUGCACAAUGGGCGCAAGCCUGAUGCAGCCAUGCCGCGUGUAUGAAGAAGGCCUUCGGGUUGUAAAGUACUUUCAGCGGGGAGGAAGGGAGUAAAGUUAAUACCUUUGCUCAUUGACGUUACCCGCAGAAGAAGCACCGGCUAACUCCGUG